UACCAGCCGUCGGAAACCCAAAGCUUACUAUGUAGCAAUAGAAGUCGAUGACAUCCCACCAAAGGAAUUUAAUGCACCAAACUUGACUUGAUUUGCAGCCUUCAAUGCCUACGUCAAUUUACAAUUCGUUGGAGGAGACAUGGAUAAUUGACUGCAAGCCAUCUCUGAGCAGAGCAGGCAGACUGGGCCACUGGGGCACUGCCUUCACGUUGGUCAACAACAUCAACAAGUGUCUGUCCCUGAAGGUGGUAAACUGGGUGAAGCCCACAGGCUCCCAGCUGCCCCCCAGCUCCUCAUCUCCCCUCACCUCCACGAGCAGCAGAGGAAGGGAAAGCAGAAAGCCACGUAAAGUAGAGAGGAUGAUGUCGUUGGUCACCAAGACCAACAAAACACAACAGGAGAUUAAAAAGAUAGAAACAGUUUGACAGAUGCACUUGUUAUAGUUACUUUGUGUUUAUAUCUGGGUAAUUUUUUCAAAUAAAUUAAUAUGAAAACUUGAUUGAGUUGUCAUUUGGAUUUGACCCUCUUUUACAUUCAAUAUGGUAAUAUACACAAUAUACUGUAUAUAUACAAAGUAGGUGGACACCCCUUCAAAUUAGUGGAUUCGGCUUAUUUCAGCCACACCCGUUGAUGACAAGUGUAGAAAAUCGAGCACAUAGCCAAGCAUACACCAUAGACAAACAGUAGAAUGGCCUUACUGAAGAGCUCAGUGACUUCCAACAAGGCACCGUCUCAUAGGAUGCCACCUUUCCAACAAGUCAGUUCAUCAAAUUUCUGCCCUGCUAGAGCUGCCCCAGUCAACUGUAAGUGCUGUUUAUGUGAAGUGAAAACGUCUAGGAGUAACAACGGCUCAGCCGCGAAGUGGUAGGCCAAACAGAACGGGACAGCUGAGUGUUGAAGCAUUUAGCGAGUAAACAUUGUCUGUCCUAGGUUGCAACACUCACUACUGAGUUCCAAAUUGCCUCUGGAAGCAAUGUCAGCACAAGAACUGUUCAGCGGGAGCUUAAUGAAAUGGGUUUCCAUGGCCCGAGCAGCCGCACAAGCCUAAGAUCACCAUGCGCAAUGCCAAGCGUUGACUGGAGUGGUGUAAAGCUCGCCAGUGGUGUAAACCUCUCAUUCUCUGGAGUGAUGAAUCACGUUUCACCUUGGCGAAUGCCAGGGGAACGCUACCUGCCCCAAUGCAUAGUGCCAACUGUAAAGUUUGGUGGAGGAUUAAUAGUGGUCUGGGGCUGUUUUUCAUGGUUCAGGCUCCUUAGUUCCAGUGAAGGGAAAUGUUAACGCAACAUCAUACAAUAAAAUUCUAUACAAUUCUGUGCUUCCAACUUUGUGGCAACAGUUUGGAGAAGGCCCUUUCCUGUUUCAGCAUAACAAUGCCCCUGUGCACAAAAGGAGGUCCAUACAGAAAUGGUUUGUCGAGAUCAGUGUGGAAAAACUUGACUGGCCUGCACAGAGCCCUGACCUCAACACCCCAUUGAACACAUUUGGGAUGAAUUGGAAUGCUGACUGAGAGCCAGGCCUAAUCGCCCAACAUCAGUGCCCGACCUUCCGAAUGCUCUUGUGGCUGAAUGGACGCAAGUCCUUGCAGCAAUGUUACAACUUUUAGUGAAGAGUGGUGGGGACCAGCUCCAUAUUAAUGCACAUGAUUUUAGAAUGAGAUGUUCGACAAGCAGGUGUCCACAUACUUUCGAUCGUGUAGUGUAGUUGUGCAUUUUGUUGAGACGAUGGAUCUAGUCUCAAGCGUGGAAAUACUGCUAUCUACCUUUCAAACACAGGCUCUGCAUGUAUUUUGUUCUGCUGUGGACGGUGACGUAAUUUGUGUCUAGCCAAUAGCACACCACUGAUAGGAGUUUGAAAUCGACGCGGGGCAGAUGUCAACCACUACAGUGAAAUGGUAAACAAACUCAGAAGAAAUAGUUAAAUUAUUCUGUUUUGAGAAGUAGCUGGCAAAUAUAACUGUGAAUGUCCGAAUUAUAUUAACCUUUACUUAUUAAACUGAUCAGAUUAUCAUUUUCAGCUUUGCAAUGUGUUAUGGACAGUUAGCUAACGUUAGCUGGCUAAUUUAGCUAGCUAAGCUAACGUCGUACACCAACUAAACGACCAAAUAAAACCGCAUGCAUUGUUGUCUAGUCAGCUCAUGUCCGAAUGAUCAAUUUCUUAAUACAACUAACGU
rnacentral:lncRNA from 13 species